AGUGGGGAAUAUUGCACAAUGGGGGAAACCCUGAUGCAGCAACGCCGCGUGAGUGAUGAAGGUCUUCGGAUUGUAAAACUCUGUCUUUGGGGACGAUAAUGACGGUACCCAAGGAGGAAGCCACGGCUAACUACGUGC
rnacentral:rRNA from 1 species